AGCCGCUUGUUUCCUUCAAUUUUCUCUAGAAGAAACCCUAAUCGAUGAUCCCCUAGUUGCAAUCGCCAAAGAAUUCUACAAACCCAGCCUGUUGAUUACAUCCAUACCGUGAAAAUCUCAUAAAAACCUUCUUGAUCUUGGUGUGUUUUCCAUUCCAACUAAGGAAUAUGCCUCAGAAGUGUAGAUCAAAUUGUCCAUGCAACGAUUAUCUUGGAGAUCAGAUAAGGACCAUCCCUUUUCUGCUUUACUUCUUCCUUGUUUUUCUACCUUUUUCGUAAAAUCUAAUUUCUGAUCAUCUUUUAUUCGUCAUCUGCAGCUCAUCGUCUGUAACUCAAAGCACGAACCCAGAAGCUUCAGUCCAUCACUUAUUUCCGAAAUUGUAAGUCUCUUAGUUGUAACAUUGUGUUUUGCUACUCAAUAUUGUUCAUUUCUUCUAAAUAUUUUGAGUUUAUACGAUCUAAUUUGGCAUUCUAUUCUUAAUAAUGUGUAGGGCAUCCAUAAUCCAACCCAAAAGCUGCAACCCACGAACCCAGAAGUUUGAAAGUUCCAUCCCAAUUACCUAGACACUUCAAUCCGUAUCUGAUAUUUUGAACGGUUAAUUUAAUCCUAAUGGCUAAUGUUAUGAUGUUUUAUUAUUGUCUUGUAUUUAGUGAUAUAUUGUAAUUAUGGGGGGAACUGUGAAGUGUAAUUGCCAGGUUGUUCUUUGUCUCAUGAUGCAGGUCGAAAUCGAAUUUCGUACUUUAUGUUUCUUGCUUCUUCAAUUCUGCUCUAAGUACAAGGAUAGCUCUUUUACAAGUUUAGAUAGG
rnacentral:lncRNA from 1 species